AAACUUUCAACAACGGAUCUCUUGGUUCUGGCAUCGAUGAAGAACGCAGCGAAAUGCGAUAAGUAGUGUGAAUUGCAGAAUUCAGUGAAUCAUCGAAUCUUUGAA
rnacentral:rRNA from 1 species